rnacentral:ribozyme from 1 species
ACAGAAAGAGAGAUCCCAAGGCAAUAGAAACCAAAAAGAAAGAAAGAAAGAAGUUUAGUCAAGCCACUUUCGUUUCUUUGUUCUUCUCUGUUCCUCUAUUUUCUCAGGGAGAGAGAGUUGUCUCUCCUCGGGACUUGGGAGGACGUUCAGGGAGGGAGAGGAGGAAAGGAAAGGAAAAGAAAAGGU